rnacentral:rRNA from 1 species
UCUGGUAUUGAUUGGUGCUUGCAUCAUGAUUUACAUUUGAGUGAGUGGCGAACUGGUGAGUAACACGUGGGAAACCUGCCCAGAAGCGGGGGAUAACACCUGGAAACAGAUGCUAAUACCGCAUAACAACUUGGACCGCAUGGUCCGAGCUUGAAAGAUGGCUUCGGCUAUCACUUUUGGAUGGUCCCGCGGCGUAUUAGCUAGAUGGUGGGGUAACGGCUCACCAUGGCAAUGAUACGUAGCCGACCUGAGAGGGUAAUCGGCCACAUUGGGACUGAGACACGGCCCAAACUCCUACGGGAGGCAGCAGUAGGGAAUCUUCCACAAUGGACGAAAGUCUGAUGGAGCAACGCCGCGUGAGUGAAGAAGGGUUUCGGCUCGUAAAACUCUGUUGUUAAAGAAGAACAUAUCUGAGAGUAACUGUUCAGGUAUUGACGGUAUUUAACCAGAAAGCCACGGCUAACUACGUGCCAGCAGCCGCGGUAAUACGUAGGUGGCAAGCGUUGUCCGGAUUUAUUGGGCGUAAAGCGAGCGCAGGCGGUUUUUUAAGUCUGAUGUGAAAGCCUUCGGCUCAACCGAAGAAGUGCAUCGGAAACUGGGAAACUUGAGUGCAGAAGAGGACAGUGGAACUCCAUGUGUAGCGGUGAAAUGCGUAGAUAUAUGGAAGAACACCAGUGGCGAAAGCGGCUGUCUGGUCUGUAACUGACGCUGAGGCUCGAAAGUAUGGGUAGCAAACAGGAUUAGAUACCCUGGUAGUCCAUACCGUAAACGAUGAAUGCUAAGUGUUGGAGGG